UCCAGCUCUCAGUCAGCUGUCCAGGUGUGUCUGGUUCAGUGUUACAGUUCUGGUAGAAGAAGCUUCUGUGUGUUUGACUGCAGCAGCUUCUGUUUUAGAGCGUGCUGCUGUUGAACUGCCGCAAGGCUCGGCACAGAGUGGCCUGUCCUGGUUCUGACAGCAGGGCAGGCCGACCACAGGGUCAGACAAA
rnacentral:snoRNA from 1 species